CAAUAGCGUAUAUUUAAGUUGUUGCAGUUAAAAAGCUCGUAGUUGGAUUUCGGGUGGGACGCAGCGGUCUCGCAUUGCGUUUGUACUGCUGCAGCCCUCCUUCUUGCCGGGGGCGGCCUCUCGGACUUCACUGUCUGGGGGUCAGAAUCGGCGAUGUUACUUUGAGUAAAUUAGAGUGUUCAAAGCAAGCUUACGCUCUGAAUAUAAUAGCAUGGGAUAACACGACAGGACUCUGGCCUAUCAUGUUGGUCUAUAGGACCAGAGUAAUGAUUAAGAGGGACAGUCGGGGGCAUUCGUAUUCCGUUGUCAGAGGUGAAAUUCUUGGAUUUACGGAAGACGAACAUCUGCGAAAGCAUUUGCCAAGGAUGUUUNCAUUGA
rnacentral:rRNA from 1 species